AAUGAACGUUGGCGGCGUGGAUUAGGCAUGCAAGUCGAGCGAGAACCGUAGCAAUACGGGGAAAGCGGCGAAAGGGAGAGUAAUGCGUGGAUACCUGCCCUCGGGUCCGGGAUAGCUGCGGGAAACUGCAGGUAAUACCGGAUGACAUCCCCGGAUCAAAGGUGUGAUCCCGCCCGGGGAGGGGUCCGCGUCCUAUUAGCGAGUUGGGGAGGUAACGGCUCGCCAAGGCGAAGAUGGGUACGGGGUGUGAGAGCAUGCCCCCGCUCACUGGGACUGAGACACUGCCCAGACACUUACGGGUGGCUGCAGUCGAGAAUCUUCGGCAAUGGGCGCAAGCCUGACCGAGCGACGCCGCGUGCGGGAUGAAGGCCUUCGGGUUGUAACCCGCUGUCAGAGGGGAUGAAAUGCCGGGGGGUUCUCCCUCCGGUUUGACAGACCCACAGAGGAAGUACGGGCUAAGUUCGUGCCAGCCGCCGCCGUAAAAC
rnacentral:rRNA from 1 species